UACGUAGGGAGCAAGCGUUGUCCGGAAUCAUUGGGCGUAAAGCGCGCGUAGGUGGCCACAUAAGUCCGUUGUGAAAGUCAAAGGCUCAACCUUUGAAAGCCGAUGGAUACUGUGUGGCUAGAGUACGGAAGAGGCGAGUGGAAUUCCUGGUGUAGCGGUGGAAUGCGCAGAUAUCAGGAGGAACACCGGUGGCGAAGGCGGAUCUCUGGGCCUUACCUGACGCUGAGGCGCGAAAGCUAGGGGAGCGAACAGG
rnacentral:rRNA from 1 species